AACUUAACAUGUAAGAUUAGAUUACGAUAUCUGUUGUUUGAAAGAUAUGAGUCCGGUUUAGUUAUCGUUUUAUCGGGUUUUCAAUGUGGAGUUAGCUUAGCGCCAGCUUGAAGAUAAGCCUUUAUUAGUCCAAAUGUUGAUUUAAGUUUGAAAGAAGCUUUAUGGCUAUAUGCGGGGAGUUAAGCGAUGCAAACAUCAUCGCAUCCGUUUCCUCAGAUGCAGAAGAAGAUGACAGCGAGGACAAUGUGGACAGCCAGAUCGAGGAAACGGAUUCAGACCACACACUUCGUGAUGCCUGAUGUGCUGUUACCAUCUUGCGGAAAUUCUUGCAAAAGAAAAUUGUAAUGAGUGAUCGGGUAAUCCAAUCUAUUGCAAUAUUGGAUGAUGCUUUGGAAGAACUGUAGUUUUCAGGUAGAAAAACUACAAUUUCCGAUUUUUUUCAAAGCUCAGCUUAAUUUUAUUUCACACAUUCAAUAUGUAUCUGAUUUUCAAGUCAAUUGUUUUAUUGUGAAAUAAUGACCAAGGAUUGUUCAUAUUCUAAUUACGUAAUUAUUUUAUUUCUAACUGUUUUUUUAUAUAUUAUAAAAUUCUUCAUUUAAAUAUUAAAAAAAUGUUAAUUGGCGUAAAUUGUAUUGUUGUAUAUGUAUAAUAUUUUCAUAAAACAGGCACAUUUUUUCUAUAUUAUAUCGAGUCAGAAAUCAUCUCAAUAAAUCGCACUUCGCUAUAUCGAAAUCCUCGAUAAUUCGAAGUUUUUCCGUUCCCCCUGAGCUUCGACUGUAUUUCAUGAAUUAGAAUAGAAUAUGUUUGGGAUAUACCUAGAAAAUACUAAAAUUCCAGGGUAUAUUUAGGUAUACAGGGUGAGCUGGGAGGAGCACACCAAACUCUAGGAGUGUAUUAUACACGUGAAAAUAAUGUUAAAAAAAUCUUAUGUUCUUAUCCGAUUUUCAUUUGUUUUCAAGUUAUAGCAUAUUAACAAAUUAUCACAUAAAAAUUUUCUUAAUCAUAGCGUUCUUUCAAUAAAUGUUUCUUCAUUUCUUUCUUCUUUAAUAUGGGCUACAGUAUUUUCAAUUCGUCUAAUUAGUGCAUCCCGUGCCUCCACUUUUAUUUUGUAGACUCCAUUUCUCAUCCAGCCCCGUACACAAAAAUCUAGUGGUGUGAGGUCUGGAGAUCUUGCAGGCCAAUUAAUGAGACCUCCACGACCAGGAACAUCGUCUAGUAGGCCUUGUAAUUCAUUGUGUAAAAAAUUUAGGUAGUUAUCUCCUGUGAGACGAUUCUCCAAAAUGAAAGGGCCAAUUAAAUAACUGUCAACCAAACCACACCACACGUUUACAGAAAACCGAUGUUGAAAAUUGCUUUCGACUUUUCCGUCCGACCAUACAUGAUAGUUACGAGUAUCCAUCCAUCCAUCUUACCUCGCUAUCCAGUCUUACUCCACAUGCCCCUACAUAGAGAGAGAAAGAAAUGUUUUAUUGUAAAAAACUAAGAAACAAACAUACAAAUAACUGAAUAAAGACACAAAUAAAAUAAAAUAAAAUCUAAGUAUUAAGUAUAAACAUAAAAUCUACAGAGAAUAAUUAAAUUACCUUUCAAAAUGUACAUGUGAAGAUUUCUAUAUGUACCUAUAUAUUGUCAACAUUAGCACUUUCUAUUAUAAAGUAUUGAGCUGUUAACUAAUUCUUAACGUGGAGUAGGUAGAUAAAGGUCGUGAUCCGCGUUGCUAAGUGGAUAGAUGUGCAAUGAUCUUUCUAGAACUGGAAAAGCAUGCUUACGAAUUAGGCAAACGGAACAGUCAUUCUUAUGAAUCUUCUAAAGAAGUCCUAGUCCUAGAAGUAGUUUGAAGAUUUGCUCAAAUUGAGUAGUCCUAAACAUACCCCAGAAGGUAAGGGCAAAUCAGAGAUACAACUCAAUAAGGGCAUAAUAAACUGUUAUAGAGGUGUAUAAUUUUACGAUGUCAGUGGUAGUACAAAAGGCUGCAAUUUAAUUUUAUAUUAUAAAACUUUAGUUUCAGAAACGUUGAUACGCAGAAGAUUAGAAUCUUAAUACUAUUUUGAAAUUUAAAUAUUCCAUCUCAAAACACAAACAAUAACUACCGUAACUUCUAAGACUACUUAAAAUUCUUCAGAAAUGGAUGCAAAAAUGUUCGGAACAAAUACGACGGUGAUAAGAUCAAAUUACACGAAUUCAUAGACAACUGUUCCAUGGCUGUGUCUCUUUUUAAACCCCAAAAUAAACCCAUACUUUUUAAAAUAAUCUAAACUAUAUAUACCCAGGCGCGUCAAAAACACAAAGCUCGCCAAGUGGUCCCCCUUAAUUUCAAGGUCCAAGCGGCUAGGUAAACUGAAGCUCAAGACCAGCAGUUAUAGUUUUAGUGUCCAUGAUGUACUCGAUGUUAAGCAUAUUAUCUUCUAUUUCUAUUUUGAUUAUUCAAUAUUUUUUGUUGAGCAGGCAGAUUGAGGCCUAGGAAUCAUCCAAAAAAUGGUGAUAUGCUGUAUGGAGUAGGCAGAUUGAGACCCCGGAAUCGAAGUCGAGGAAACAAAAAUCAGUAACCAAAGCAGCGACGUUUACGGAAUAUGUAGCUCUCUCGGAAACAGUAAAUGAAAUAAAAUUUGUCAAGGAUUUAUUAGAUUCUGUUAAAUUAAUAAAAUCGAUUGAUGAAUACGAUAA